rnacentral:rRNA from 1 species
AUGCCCCCUCGCUACGACGGCGCGGCGGAUCCGGCGGCUUUCCUAUCGGCAUACGAGGAGGCCGUUUCUGAAGCCGGAGGCGAUGACAAGGUCAUGGCCAACUGGUUCCCCAUGGCCCUCACUGGCGUGCCACGCGCCUGGUUGCUCAACCUGCCGGAGUCCUUUAUGGCCUCCUGGGAGGAGCUGCGCUACCCCUUCAUCGCGCGCUUCGCGGCACCAGCGCCCCCCGCCGACGCGGCCCUCCUAGGGGGUUCGCAGGCACCGCCCUCGGGUCAUCACGUCAAGCAGUUCGUCCGCCAGGUGGGCGUCGCGCGUCUGCGGCAGGGGCUCCUCUAG